CAUGGCGGGCAGCUACCAUGCAGUCGAGCGGGAAGCCCGCAAGGGUGAGUACAGCGGCGCACGGGUGCGUAACACGUGGGUAAUCUGCCCUGAAGCUCGGGAUAACUCGCCGAAAGGCGUGCUAAUACCGGAUAAGACCACGGGAGCCUCGGCUCCUGUGGGAAAAGGUGGCCUCUGUAUACAAGCUAUCACUUCAGGAUGAGCCCGCGGCCCAUCAGCUCGUUGGCGGGGUAACGGCCCACCAAGGCUACGACGGGUAGCUGGUCUGAGAGGACGAUCAGCCACACUGGAACUGAGACACGGUCCAGACUCCUACGGGAGGCAGCAGUGGGGAAUCUUGCGCAAUGGGCGAAAGCCUGACGCAGCAACGCCGCGUGUGUGAUGAAGGUCUUCGGAUCGUAAAGCACUGUCGGGAGGGACGAAUAAGGGCCGGGAUAACACUCCGGUCUGAUGACGGUACCUCCAAAGGAAGCACCGGCUAACUCUGUGCCAGCAGCCGCGGUAAUACAGAGGGUGCAAGCGUUGUUCGGAAUUAUUGGGCGUAAAGCGCGUGUAGGCGGUCUCGCAAGUCGGAUGUGAAAGCCCUCGGCUUAACCGAGGAAGUGCGUUCGAAACUACGAGACUUGAGUACCGGAGAGGGUGGCGGAAUUCCCGGUGUAGAGGUGAAAUUCGUAGAUAUCGGGAGGAACACCAGUGGCGAAGGCGGCCACCUGGACGGCUACUGACGCUGAGACGCGAAAGCGUGGGGAGCAAACAGGAUUAGAUACCCUGGUAGUCCACGCUGUAAACGAUGAGCGCUAGGUGUUGUGGGUGUUGACCCCUACAGUGCCGCAGCUAACGCAUUAAGCGCUCCGCCUGGGAAGUACGGCCGCAAGGCUAAAACUCAAAGGAAUUGACGG
rnacentral:rRNA from 1 species